UACGGGGGGGGCAAGCGUUGUUCGGAAUUACUGGGCGUAAAGGGCUCGUAGGUGGCCAACUAAGUCAGACGUGAAAUCCCUCGGCUUAACCGGGGAGCUGCGUCUGAUACUGGAUGGCUUGAGAUUGGGAGAGGGAUGCGGGAUUCCAGGUGUAGCGGUGAAAUGCGUAGAUAUCUGGAGGAACACCGGUGGCGAAGGCGGCAUCCUGGACCAACACUGACACUGAGGAGCGAAAGCCAGGGGAGCAAACGGG
rnacentral:rRNA from 1 species